rnacentral:rRNA from 2 species
CGACUCUCGGCAACGGAUAUCUCGGCUCACGCAUCGAUGAAGAACGUAGCAAAACGCGAUACUUGGUGUGAAUUGCAGAAUCCCGUGAACCAUCGAGUUUUUGAACGCAAGUUGCGCCCGAAGCCAUUCGGUUGAGGGCACGUCUGCCUGGGCGUCACG